rnacentral:misc_RNA from 1 species
GAUGAAGAACGCAGCGAAAUGCGAUAAGUAAUGUGAAUUGCAGAAUUCAGUGAAUCAUCGAAUCUUUGAACGCACAUUGCGCCCGCCAGUAUUCUGGCGGGCAUGCCUGUUCGAGCGUCAUUUCAGCCAUCAAGCCCCCCGGGCUUGUGUUGGGACCCGCGGCUGCCGCGGGCCCUGAAAGACAGUGGCGGUCUCGCUGUAGCACCGAGCGUAGUAGCAUACACCUCGCUCCGGUCGCGCGGCGGGCUUCCGGCCGUAAAAACCCCUAUAAUCAAAGGUUGACCUCGGAUCAGGUAGGAAUACCCGCUGAACUUAAGCAUAUCAAUAAGCGGAGGA